rnacentral:rRNA from 1 species
UGAGCUUGAUCCUGGCUCAGAUUGAACGCUGGCGGCAUGCUUUACACAUGCAAGUCGAACGGUAACAGGGAGCUUGCUCCGCUGACGAGUGGCGAACGGGUGAGUAAUACAUCGGAAUGUACCCAGUCAUGGGGGAUAACGCUUCGAAAGGAGUGCUAAUACCGCAUACGCCCUGAGGGGGAAAGUGGGGGACGCGCAAGCGCCUCACGUGAUUGGAGCAGCCGAUGGCUGAUUAGCUAGUUGGUAGGGUAAAGGCCUACCAAGGCAACGAUCAGUAGCGGGUCUUAGAGGACGAUCCGCCACACUGGAACUGAGACACGGUCCAGACUCCUACGGGAGGCAGCAGUGGGGAAUCUUGGACAAUGGGCGAAAGCCUGAUCCAGCAAUGCCGCGUGCGUGAAGAAGGCCUUCGGGUUGUAAAGCGCUUUUGUCGGGGAGGAAAUCCUAACGGUUAAUACCUGUUGGGGAUGACAG